AACGAACGCUGGCGGCAUGCCUAACACAUGCAAGUCGAACGAGACCUUCGGGUCUAGUGGCGCACGGGUGCGUAACGCGUGGGAACCUGCCCUUAGGUUCGGAAUAACUCCCCGAAAGGGGUGCUAAUACCGGAUAAUGUCUUCGGACCAAAGAUUUAUCGCCUUUGGAUGGGCCCGCGUUGGAUUAGCUAGUUGGUAGGGUAAAAGCCUACCAAGGCGACGAUCCAUAGCUGGUCUGAGAGGAUGAUCAGCCACACUGGGACUGAGACACGGCCCAGACUGGUACGGGAGGCAGCAGUGGGGAAUAUUGGACAAUGGGCGAAAGCCUGAUCCAGCAAUGCCGCGUGAGUGAUGAAGGCCUUAGGGUUGUAAAGCUCUUUUACCCGGGAUGAUAAUGACAGUACCGGGAGAAUAAGCACCGGCUAACUCCGUG
rnacentral:rRNA from 1 species